CAUUCAUUAAUUGCAACACCACUUUUGUGGUAUACAGGUUAUCAUGCCAAUGUGGAUGUUUUUAUGUAGGCCGGACCAAGAGACGUUUCAAAGACAGAGUAUCGGAGCAUAAAAAUGCCAUUAGAAAAGCUAAUUUAGAUUACCCUAUGGCAAAACAUUUUCAAAAUGUGCACAAUAGUAAUCCAGAAGGCCUAAUGGUUGAGGGUUUAGAAAUGAUCAAAAAGAGCAUUCGGGGUGGGGACCGAUUAAAAUUACUUCUACAGAGAAAAACAUUUUAUAUAUAUGAGUUACAGGCCACAGUAUACCCUGGUUUGAAAGAAGAAAUAGAUUUCAGUCCCUUUUUGUGAUAUGCCUUUUGUUGCUAUGUAACCUCCUAGUGGACCUUCUCUGUAUGUGCAUGUGAUUUGUCAUUCAGGUGUUUCUAAUCAGCAUCUAUAAAAAGAGUAAAUUGUUUGAUUGUAAUACAUACCCUGAAGAAGGCUGUUUUUGCCGCUACGCGUGGGUUGUUGUUUUAUCCCCCAUGUCUUUUAUACUUUCUAUCAUGAAAUAGCCAGUUCAAUAAAGGCUUUUUAUAAUUUUCUAAAGAAGAGUGCCUUGGAUUUCCUUCUACUGUAACCAUUAAUGUGUUAGACAGCAAAGGCAAUGUUGUCAUGCUAACGGUUUCCAAGGACAUCGCUGAAAGGAUGCAAAAUGGUAAGUAAACCACAUGACUGUGAAAUAGUUAUCAAUAAGUCAUCAAUGAUUUGUGUAAGUGUUUUAUUUAUCAUUUAUUCCCCCAGAUCAAAUGUUCUUUUCCUCUGUCAUGGUGAAAGUAUCAGCUGUUGAAACAAAAGGUACACAUUUACUUAAUAUACAUAUACACUGUAAAAAAUAAUUCCGUGGCUUAGUAAAGAGCUAUAUUAACUUAAUAAAAUCUUUUGAAAUCAUUUAAGUGAUAUUUUGAGUGGGUCAGGUUAAAAAGAAUAAUUAAAAAUCCAACAAAAAUUUCUCUAAAAUUUACAUAUAUUAUUUAAGUUUAUGUAAUGAAAAUAAAUAAGUAUUUAACUAACUAAUUAUAUUUUUAAUAUACCCUCAAUAUUUCUGGUGAAUUCUAAUAGAAAUAUUUGAUAAUUAUUUACUUGUACUGAUCUGUUUUAGAAACUAAAAUUAAGUAUUUCCUAACAAUUUUCCUAAAUAAAGUUCCAGCUUAAUAAAUGACAGUUUAAAUAAAUAGUACAUUUCGUGGCUAAAGUGAUCACGUGUGCAGCUCCGAAGGAAAAAAAAAUCAGCUUUCCUCAGCAGCGACGUCGACUAGCCAUACUCCUCACAACUCCUGGUAAGUAACGUUAGUCAGCUAAUCCUACUUACGUUUGUAACACUUUAUUAAAAAGUGAAUAAUUAUUAAGCAUUUCCUAACAAUUGUCUUUGUAUUUUACGUCAUCUUCAACAAGUUUUGUAGCUUAAUCGAAGUCACCUGAAGGACGGCUUUCCUCAGCAACGGCAAGGCCUGCACUCCUCUCAUAUCGUGGUACGUUAUGUAAUUUAGCCAGCUAAUACUAAUUAUGUUUCUAAUGUUUAAUUCAGAAGUUAAUUAAGGAUUUCCUAACAAUUCUGUUUGUAUUUUGCAUCAUCUUAAUAAGUUAAACAAGUUUCGCGGCUCAAGCAAGAGGCACCUGUCACUGAAGGACUUCUUUUCUCAGCAACGACGUGAACAGCAUUACUCGAAUUUCCUGGUUCAGCUGAUCUACCCGUCUUCGUACACGCAGAGUUGGCAGAGGAGGUCAUAAAAAUCUACAUCCUUCGGGACAAUGAUGGGGCAGUCAGCGAUAUAGGAGUUGUGAUUGAGGGCAUCACUGUUCUCCGCAAUCUUGGGAAUCUCAGCAGAGCCUGCUGUUAUCUUUUGGGAGUCACGUAUGCAUUGGAUUUGAGAUAUCCCAAGACCCACAAAUACAGCUCGUCUGCAAUCAAGUAAGCAAACGCCACGUGAUCUGCCAUGACUGACGUAUUUGCAGCAAACUACGGGAGCCACAACGUGUCCGGAUUCAUAUCUCCAUUUGCAGCUCCUCCCCACCGGCACCUAUUUUAACAGUGUUGUUCAAUACAAUCAUGUAAUUACCUGGUUUUGAUAUUUUAUUUGAGCUAAUUAUUAUUGCCUCAUCUACAGUUUAUAUAUAAAUAGUCAUACUAAAGUCUGGAUUUCACUUAGGUCUGUUUGUGUUACUCAGUUGUCAAAAUAAUCAGAUUACUUGAUUACCAAAAUAAAUCAUUAGUUACAGCCCUAGAUUUGUUAAAAUAUUUCUAAAUAAAACUACAUUGUUUUACUUUCUGUAAUUAAAAUACAAAUAUUUUGUCAUUAAAAAUUUAUUUAAAAUAGUAUUAAAAUAUUGUCACGUUCUAGUGAACCAAGGAUCUGUAUUUUACAGGGGCUUUAACCCCUGUAAAUAUCACCAAGGAUAUACAAAUUUUAGAAAUGUUUAAUUAUGGCCCUGUAAAAAAAAAUAUUGACUUUGCAAGAUGGAAUCUUUUACCUAUUUUUAAGCUUGGGAUCUAGGUUAGAUUCAGUCCAGCAAAACAUACUUCUGAGAUUGCAAUCUAUAGAUAUUUUCCAGUGUUACCUGUUUCCUUGCCCAGAAAGCAAUUCUCAGAAUGGAAUAAACUGAAAUGCAGAAAAGUUUGGCAUUAACAGCUUUAAAGUUUAUAAAUAAAGCAGAACUCUUGAUCUUGAAGUUAUUUGAUCCUUAUUAUUUAAAAUGUCCAGCUCUACAGAAAUAGAGAAGUUUUAUGUUACACAAAAUAAUGGUUUUGAUACUUCUCUAUGAAAUUUGUUUGGCUUUUAAAUGAUUUAUUCCCCCACUGCUUUUCCUCAGAAGUGCUAUACUACCAAAUUAACAUGCAAAUAACAGUAAAUGUUCAAUACAAGCAAUAAAUAGUCAUGUGUCAACUUAAUAAAUAAUUUCUCCAGCUGACACAGAUUGGUAGUCUCUGCUGCUUAUCUUUGUUCUUCAUUUAAAAGUAUUUGGUGAACAAAUAAUAUAAUCAGUGGUGAGAGACUUCAUAACGAACUGCAGCAGCAUAGAAUCAAAUUUUUCAUGUUUUGAGCAACACAAACAGUUGAUAUCAAAAUGGACUAAAGAAAACAGCUGUGACUUCUACAUCUAUCUUUUUCAGUAGCAGAAUAUUAUCAGAAGUUGAUCUAGGAUGAGAGUUUCUUCUUCUGAACUCCUGUAGCAGCACAUGAGUGGGAUCUUCUUCACAAUGUAAAAGUGAUUUUUCUUAAUCACACCAGUGUUUUUAAUUAAAUUUUAUUUAAAUUAAUUAUGAAAUAAUCAAUGAAUAAUUAACAUUAAUACAGUAUACACCUCUUUCAGAGGCGUUUAGUCAUCACCAGCGUGACAGAAUGUGGAAAUUAGGGCUGCACGAUUAAUUGAGUGCUAUUAACCGAUGUCUUUAAGUGUGGUAACCGUAGUAUAAGCGGAAUAAUUGACUCUGGGACAUUGAAUUAUUAUAAAAGUAGUGGUGAUGCGAUCACGACGCGAAGCGGAGUAUAAUUCAACGGCCCAUCGUCAAUUAUUCCUUACAUAACACGUUUUUUACAAUGUAUAUUGACAAUAAAUUUAACGUGAACCAAUAAUGAACUGCACUGCUACAGAAUUUAUUAAUAUUUGUUCAUGUUAACUAAUGUAGUAAUUAAUGUCAACUAAUGA